rnacentral:rRNA from 1 species
AUUGAACGCUGGCGGCAGGCCUAACACAUGCAAGUCGAACGAGUGGCGGACGGGUGAGUAAUGUCUGGGAAACUGCCCGAUGGAGGGGGAUAACUACUGGAAACGGUAGCUAAUACCGCAUACCAUCAGAUGUGCCCAGAUGGGAUUAGCUAGGUGGUGGGGUAAAGGCUUACCAAGGCGACGAUCCGUAACUGGUCUGAGAGGAUGAUCAGUCACACUGGAACGGAGACACGGUCCAGACUCCGACGGGAGGCAGCAGUGGGGAAUAUUGGACAAUGGGCGAAAGCCUGAUCCAGCCAUGCCGCGUGUAUGAAGAAGGUCUUCGGAUUGUAAAGCACUUUAAGUGGGGAGGCGUUACCCGCAGAAGAAGCACCGGCUAACUCCGUGCCAGCAGCCGCGGUAAUAC